rnacentral:lncRNA from 1 species
GGUUCUUUUACUUUUAUUGGGUUCUGAGCCUUGGUGUUAGAAAAGAGGAAGACGCAAGAUGGUGAAAAGCUGCAGCAGAGGAAAGUGGGCGUGAAGGAAAAUCAUGGACUCAGGCAUCCGCUACCGGGCCAAAGAUGGGGAUUUGUGGGGUCGGUUGGCUUUCCUCUUUUUUCGCUUUUUAGUGACAUACGGUUCUGUGGACGGAGAUAGAAAAUUAUUAGAUUAGGUUGAUUUAAUAUAUAUUUUUAAAAUUUUUAAAUUUAUAGUAAAACUAAAAAUUUAGAUUAAAUAUUUUAAUCUUUACAUACGGUUGCUGUUCGAUUUAGUAGAGAUCGGAGAGAUGGUGACUGAGCCUCGUGC